ACCUGCCUCGUCAACAGCCCAUCCUCAGCCCCUCCGUCCUCGACCACCUCAUCAACAACGACCGCAAGCUGCCGCCCGAGUACAGCCUGCCCCACACCUACGUCGAGAUGCAGUCGCUGCAGAUCGCCGCCUUCCUCUUCACCGUCUGCCAC
rnacentral:lncRNA from 1 species